UACGAAGGGGGCUAGCGUUGCUCGGAAUCACUGGGCGUAAAGGGUGCGUAGGCGGGUUCUUAAGUCAGAGGUGAAAUCCUGGAGCUCAACUCCAGAACUGCCUUUGAUACUGAGAGUCUUGAGUAUGACAGAGGUGAGUGGAACUGCGAGUGUAGAGGUGAAAUUCGUAGAUAUUCGCAAGAACACCAGUGGCGAAGGCGGCUCACUGGGUCAUUACUGACGCUGGGGCACGAAAGCGUGGGGAGCAAACAGG
rnacentral:rRNA from 1 species